rnacentral:sRNA from 1 species
UCUGCUCGUGGCGGCAGAUGUAAAUAAACGGUGGGGCGGCUGCAAAAGAGCCGCCUUGCUGGGUAAAAUCAUGUUGUGCCGCGGAACCCGCUCCUCAGCUAGUCACACUUCGGAAGCGCGGGCAACGCAGGCGGUAUCGUCAUAAAGGGCCGGCUGCAACCGGCCC